UACCGUUGCACGUCAUUGAUUACCGGUA
rnacentral:sRNA from 1 species